rnacentral:rRNA from 1 species
GACGGUGGAUGCAAGCGUUAUCAGGAAUGAUUGGGCGUAAAGCGUUCGCAGGUGGCUGUUCAAGUAUGCUGUCAAAGACCGGGGCUUAACCCCAGAAAGGCAGUGGAAACUGAACGGCUGGAGUGCAGAUCGGGUAGAGGGAAUUCCCAGUGUAGCGGUGAAAUGCGUAGAGAUUGGGAAGAACACCGGUGGCGAAAGCGCUCUGCUGGACUGCAACUGACACUGAGGGACGAAAGCUAGGGGAGCGAAAGGG